rnacentral:siRNA from 1 species
UCACCUUGCACGCGUCUGACA